ACUCAAAUGAAUUGACGGGGGCCCGCACAAGCGGUGGAGCAUGUGGUUUUCAAUUCGACGCAACGCGAAGAACCUUACCUGGGUUUGAACUACUAAAAGUAAAACCGAUGAAAGUUGGGAUGACCUGUAAAGUCAGGAAUUAGCAGAGGUGCUGCAUGGCUGUCGUCAGCUCGUGUCGUGAGAUGUUGGGUUAAGUCCCGCAACGAGCGCAACCCUUAUCCUAUGUUGCCACGUCCGUAAAGGACAGCACUCUUAGGAAACUGCCUCGGAUAACGGGGAGGAAGGUGGGGAUGACGUCAAGUCCUCAUGGCCUUUAUGUCCAGGGCUACACACGUGCUACAAUGGCCGGUACAACGAGCAGCAAUCCCGCAAGGGGGAGCAAAUCUCUAAAAGCCGGCCCCAGUUCAGAUUGUGGGCUGCAAUUCGCCCACAUGAAGGCGGAAUCGCUAGUAAUCGGAGAUCAGCUGGCUCCGGUGAAUACGUUCCCGGGCCUUGCACACACCGCCCGU
rnacentral:rRNA from 1 species